rnacentral:rRNA from 1 species
GAUAAACGCUAGCGGCAGGCUUAACACAUGCAAGUCGAGGGGCAGCAUAGAUUGUAGCAAUACAAUUGGUGGCGACCGGCGCACGGGUGCGUAACGCGUAUGCAACCUACCCGUCACAGGGGGAUAAUCCGGAGAAAUCUGGUCUAAUACCCCAUAACAUAUGGAUCGGCAUCGGUUCAUGUUGAAAUUUUCGGAGGUGACGGAUGGGCAUGCGUAGCAUUAGCUUGUUGGUGAGGUAACGGCUCACCAAGGCGACGAUGCUUAGGGGGACUGAGAGGUUUUACCCCCACACUGGUACUGAGACACGGCCCAGACUCCUCCGGGAGGCAGCAGUGAGGAAUAUUGGUCAAUGGGCGCAAGCCUGAACCAGCCAUGCCGCGUGCAGGAUGACGGCUCUAUGAGUUGUAAACUGCUUUUGUACGAGGGUAAAGUGGGUUACGUGUAACCUUUUGAAAGUAUCGUACGAAUAAGGAUCGGCUAACUCCGUGCCAGCAGCCGCCGUAA